rnacentral:rRNA from 1 species
AUUGAACGCUGGCGGCAGGCCUAACACAUGCAAGUCGAGCGGAUGAAGGGAGCUUGCUCCUGGAUUCAGCGGCGGACGGGUGAGUAAUGCCUAGGAAUCUGCCUGGUAGUGGGGGAUAACGUCCGGAAACGGGCGCUAAUACCGCAUACGUCCUGAGGGGGAAAGUGGGGGAUCUUCGGACCUCACGCUAUCAGAUGAGCCUAGGUCGGAUUAGCUAGUUGGUGGGGUAAAGGCCUACCAAGGCGACGAUCCGUAACUGGUCUGAGAGGAUGAUCAGUCACACGGGAACUGAGACACGGUCCAGACUCCUACGGGAGGCAGCAGUGGGGAAUAUUGGACAAUGGGCGGAAGCCUGAUCCAGCCAUGCCGCGUGUGUGAAGAAGGUCUUCGGAUUGUAAAGCACUUUAAGUUGGGAGGAAGGGCAGUAAGUUAAUACCUUGCUGUUUUGACGUUACCAACAGAAUAAGCACCGGCUAACUUCGUG